rnacentral:rRNA from 1 species
AGUGGCGCACGGGUGAGUAACGCGUGGAUAAUCUGCCCUCUUGUUCGGGAUAACUGCUGGAAACGGCAGCUAAUACCGGAUAAGCUCCACCAAUUGUAUGGUGGAGGAAAGGAGGCCUCUUCAUGAAAGCUUCCGCGAGGGGAUGAGUCCGCGUCCCAUUAGCUAGUUGGUGAGGUAACGGCCCACCAAGGCAACGAUGGGUAGCCGGUCUAAGAGGAUGACCGGCCACACUGGAACUGAAACACGGUCCAGACUCCUACGGGAGGCAGCAGUGGGGAAUAUUGCGCAAUGGACGAAAGUCUGACGCAGCGACGCCGCGUGAGGGAUGAAGGUUUUCGGAUCGUAAACCUCUGUCAGGAGGGAAGAAAGCGCAUGGCGCCAAUCAGUCAUGCGUUGACGGUACCUCCAAAGGAAGCGCCGGCUAACUCCGUGCCAGCAGCCGCGGUAAUACGGAGGGCGCGAGCGUUAAUCGGAAUCACUGGGCGUAAAGCGCGCGUAGGCUGUUGUGUAAGUUGGGGGUGAAAUCCCACGGCUCAACCGUGGAACAGCCCUUGAUACUGCGCGACUUGAAUCCGGGAGAGGGUGGCGGAAUUCCAGGUGUAGGAGUGAAAUCCGUAGAUAUCUGGAGGAACAUCAGUGGCGAAGGCGGCCACCUGGACCGGUAUUGACGCUGAGGCGCGAAAGCGUGGGGAGCAAACAGGAUUAGAUACCCUGGUA